rnacentral:rRNA from 1 species
CCCUUAGACGUUCUGGGCCGCACGCGCGCUACACUGACCGGUGCAACAAGCAUCCGUCCUUGGCCGACAGGCCCGGGCAAUCUUUGAACGCCGGUCGUGAUGGGGAUAGACUUUUGCAAUUUUUGGUCUUCAACGAGGAAUUCCUAGUAAACGCAAGUCAUCAACUUGCAUUGAUUACGUCCCUGCCCUUUGUACACACCGCCCGUCGCACCUACCGAUUGAAUGGUCCGGUGAAAUCUCCGGACUGGCGUGAGUCGGAGCAAUCUGACAAACGCCGGAAAGUUGAUUAAACCUUACCAUUUAGAGGAAGGUGAAGUCGUAACA